GACGAACGCUGGCGGCGUGCUUAACACAUGCAAGUCGAACGGUGAAGCGCCUUCCUUUUUGGUGGGUGUGGAUGAGUGGCGAACGGGUGAGUAACACGUGAGUAACCUGCCCCCUUCUUCUGGAUAACCGCAUGAAAGUGUGGCUAAUACGGGAUAUUCUGGGUCUGUCGCAUGAUGGGUCUGGGAAAGAUAUUGUUUCGGUGGGGGAUGGGCUCGCGGCCUAUCAGCUUGUUGGUGGGGUGAUGGCCUACCAAGGCGGUGACGGGUAGCCGGCCUGAGAGGGUGGACGGUCACACUGGGACUGAGACACGGCACAGACUCAUACGGGAGGCAGCAGUGGGGAAUAUUGCACAAUGGGCGCAAGCCUGAUGCAGCGACGCCGCGUGAGGGAUGGAGGCCUUCGGGUUGUGAACCUCUUUCGCCAGUGAAGCAGGCCUGCCUCGUUUGUGGGUGGGUUGACGGUAGCUGGAUAAGAAGCGCCGGCUAACUACGUG
rnacentral:rRNA from 1 species